GAUGCAAGACAUGUGAUUUUGACCUUGUUGGAUGCUGCACCUAAAGGUGGGUGGAAGCAGGAAGUCUUGGGGGCUACCACUCUGACUGGAGAAGCUGGCACGAGGCUCCCUCUUGUGGAUGCAGCAAGUCUAGGGGCCAAGGAAAGAGAAGAAUGACAUGGAAUCUCCUUUCCUUGAGAUCUUAGAAUCACGCCUGCCUCCUUACCUCCAUCCAGGACUGUUUAAAAACUCCCAAAGCAGGGACUUUUAGGCCCACAUGCACUUAGCCUCCUCUUCCCACCUCCUGUUCAUCUCUGUUUCCAAUGUUCCACUGCCAUAACUGCCAGGAGGUUCUGCAGAGAAGAAUGAAGAAGAACCAUAUGAUCCUAAACAUGUUCUCUGAAGAUAUUAUCAGCCCACCAUCGGCCUUAUUUAUUGGGAUGGUUUUAUAACCUUUAUUUGAUACCUCUUCCCAUCAUUUAAAAUAAACCUGGUGCUUCCCUGAA